rnacentral:tRNA from 1 species
GCCACUGUAGUGCAGAGAUAAGCAUGUCCGCCUUUGACGCUGAACGCGUAGGUUCGAAUCCUUGGUGGUU